CUUAUUUGAAUGUUUAAGAACUUUGGGAAUCAGGAGAACUGAGUUACAGUCCUGACUGCCAGUUUGUCACUUUGAGCAAGUCUCUCUCAGACUGGGUCCACUCAAGGUCCAAAUACUGAUUAGUUGCUGUAUUUCUCUGAAUCAGCUUUCUGCCAUUGGAGACCUUUAUCCAUUUCUCCGGGAGUCAUGCAUAAUGAUUUCCAAUGAGCUAAUUCUUCUGAAACUUUCUUCAGAGGUGGACUAUAAUUCAGAGAGAGGUUUCAGAGUAACAGCCUUGUUAAUCUGGGAGAGGUUGCCUGGCAAUUAAGUCACAUGGGUCUGCUCAUCCUUUUGAGGCUGAUUGGGAGGUCAUAUGACAGGAGACUGGGAGGUUAUAAUUUAAGGGCAGAAACUGCUCUCCUCAGAGUCUUUGGCUAUUUUCAUCAGUUCAAGCCAAUGGAAGCUGUUGCAGGAGCCUGAUGUUGGGGGAACCCUGCCUACCUGAACACAGAGAGACCUUAAGAACUCCCAAGGGAAAGAAGCUACUAAAGUCUGGCAUUUUUAACUUAGAAUAUCCAAAUAACCUGCACCCAAGAGUUUUAAAAGAAGUGGCUGAGGAGCUAACUGGACCAUUAAUGUUGAUUUUCAAUACAUCUUGGAGCACGGGGGAAGUUCCAGAAGACUGGAAGAAAGCUAUUGUUCUGAUGAUUUUCAAAAAGGAUAAACGGGAUGACCUGGGCCUGCCGGCCUACAUCGAUAUGGGCAAGAUAAUGGAGUAGCUUAUACAGGCCUUGAUUAAUGAAGUAUUAAAGGAGGGCAAUGUAAUUAAUGCAAAUCAAGAUGGGUUUAUGGAAAAUGGAUCCUGUCAAACUAAGUUGAUAUCUUUUUGUGAUGAGAUUACAAGUUUGUUUGAUAAAUGUAAUUGACUCGAACUUCUGUAAGGUGUUUAAUUUGGUGCUGCACCACAGUUUGAUUACAAAAUUAGACUGAU